UUCUAUUCAGGUAUGCCAAAGAGAAA
rnacentral:piRNA from 1 species